GUUUAUUUUAAGUUUAGAAAGUCCUCAUUUUUUUCUAAUUAUCAACCAUGAAAAGGAUCAAAUUAUUAUAGUACGGUAGGAAACCGAAAUUCUAAAUACCAGUGGAAUACUUAAGCUAUAUAUGUUUAUGAUAGUUUAAAUUCUAUAUUUGUUUAUGGAUAUGUUUCCAAUUAUUAUAAAUUGCUUUUUGCUUAUUGCUUAGCAUUCUAGAAGUCCAUUUUUGUUUGCUUUGAAGAGUUGAGUGUAAGCCACAUUUGGUUUUGAAAUUGAAGACCAUCCUUCAGUAAUGUUAACCAAUCAGUACCAGUGUAUCACAGGAUUUUAAAGUUGCUUUAGAGUACCAUAUCCUUAAAAGCGAAAGAUGAGUUUUGGAGAUCCUAAAAUAAGAAUGCUUUGGGAAUCCAUGAGUGCUUAUCUUGUUCCAUGAGUGCUUAUCUUGUCUUUGAUAUAUCAAACCUGUGCAAUUUUAAUUUUAGAAAUGCAGAAAAUUCUAUAGAACUUAAAUUUAAUGGGAUCUAUAGUUUCUAUUACAAAAAAUUACUCGGUAAAAAUUUUUGAGUCUAAGUUUGCUUUUUGUCAUGAUGAGGUUGAUGAGGGUAGAGAUGACCUUUGCAUGUGAUGCCUUUACCUGCUUUUGGUCAUCAUCGUCUUGAUUAAAUUUGAGUUGCAUGGGCUCUUAAGGUGAUGACCUUUGAAGUCCAUCUAGCAAAAUGCCUCCCUUGUAUGUUGGUAAUUGUUGUGGUUGUUUAGAGGUAGUUGCUCCUAACCAUUGACAGUCACUCAAAUCAGUUGUACGAUUGAGGAAAAAAAUGUAACAUUCUG
rnacentral:misc_RNA from 1 species